rnacentral:lncRNA from 1 species
UGGAGCUUCAAUUCGAGCCUGGAUGUCGCCGUCCGUAACGGCAACACUACAAACGGAGGCGACGCGGGAGGGGGCGGCAUCAACGCUCCUCCGGACCCCCCUCCGAGCAAGAAGAAAAGCAGCAUCGGCCUACUGGCUGGUGUGCUUGCUGGCGCGGGAACCUUGGCAAUCGCAGCGGGUUUGGCACUCUUCUUCGUCCGGCGAAGAAGGGCAUAUGCCAAGAAUGGAGGACAGGACGACGUCAUCAACGACAGCGAACUUGACGAAGGCAAGGGGCCCAAGACCUUCUCUUAUUCGGAACUCGCCCGGGCAACAAGCAACUUUGCGCCAGAACAAAAGCUAGGAAGAGGAGGAUUCGGAGACGUUUACAGAGGAACCUUAACCCAGCCGAAAAUGGUGGUGGCCAUCAAAAGAGUGGCAAAAGACUCGAGGCAGGGAAAGAAGGAGUAUGUCGCCGAGGUGAAGGUCAUCAGCCGCGUGCGCCACCGCAACCUCGUGCAGCUCGUGGGGUGGUGCCACGAGAAGGGGGAGCUGCUUCUCGUCUAUGAGUACAUGCCCAACGGCAGCCUCGACGCCCGCCUCUACGGCGGUGGCAAUCCGCUGCCGUGGCCGACGAGGUACAGCAUCGCCCGGGGGGUCGCGGCGGCGCUGCUUUACCUCCACGACGAGUCGGAACAGUGCGUCGUCCACAGGGACGUCAAGUCGGACAAUGUGAUGCUGGACGCCAAUUUCAACGCCAAGUUAGGGGAUUUCGGCCUUGCGAGGCUCGUGGACCACGGCGGCGGCAUGGAGACGACGGCCGUGGCUGGGACGAUGGGGUACCUGGCGCCGGAGACCGCGACGACGGGGAGGGCGAGCAAGGAGUCGGACAUCUACAGCUUCGGGGUGCUGGCCUUGGAGAUCGCCUGCGGGAGGAGACCCAUCGAUCACGGCAAUAAAGAGGGACGAGUUAGUCUCGUCGACUGGGUGUGGGAUCUCUACGGGAAGGGCGCCGUUGUGGAGGGGGCGGACGAGAGGCUGGGCUCGGACUUCGACCGGCAGGAGAUGGAGCGGCUGAUGGUGGCGGGCCUGUGCUGCGCGCACCCGGACCACCGGCAACGGCCGUCGAUGCGGCAGGUGAUCGGCAUUCUCCUCUUCGAGAUGCCGUUGCCUGAUCUUCCGUCCGAGAUGCCGGACCCGUCCUACGGAGCGUUUUCGGUUUCAGGGUUCAAGUUGACCAGCAACAACGGGUGGUCAUCGUCUACGUCCGCGACCUCCGCUGGAUUCACCAACGGCGCCUCCGUCGAUUCAGCGGGGUCCGCCGUCUCCAAACGACUUCUGUUUCCGUCCGGCAGUUGAAUCAGUCGAAUUCAACUCUUUCGUUUUGUUUGUCUUUCACUCAGGAGUUGAGUACAGCGAGAGAGCGAGAUAUUUCUGUGUUAUUUGCACUUUCUUCCCAACUGUUCUUGCUGUAAAAAUCCCUGUAACCAAGGUUUCGAUCCUUGGAGCUUAGCUCCCUCGUCCUACUCAGUUGACGGUGGAUUCUCGCGGACCCAUUACCACGAUGUAUCCCGGCAUUUUCGUGAGGAUCCUGAAUAGAUCUGAUAGGAAGGAAAGGAUAGGUUCGGCCUCCGACGUCUGUCUAUGGCAUUCCUCCCACGGGGGCGGCACGUCACCCACCGCACCACGACGACCAUUCACGAGAACGCCGAUGGUCAGGCCAGGCGUCUGUUCACAUCUUUUGUCUACUCUGUUUCAUGGGUCCUGGGUGACUUCUUCACGUGUUCCCACCUUCCCUCGGACGCGGACGAAAUCCGGAGAAUCAGCUUGGACAUGAGAUCGAUUCAGCCCGUCCUAGUUUAUCUUCCCUUAAAGACGGUGUUUUACGUGGGUACUACUCCAUUGCUCUCCUGUCGGCGUAACAGGACUGCUCCUUACGCCAUCACCUCCCCCCCCCAAUUGGUAGCUCGCAAAUCGCAUACAACACCAGCAUCACUGGAGAUCCGAGUUCGAGUGCUGAGGGGACGCCACAGCUGGAUACCAUUCAUCCAGGGACCCAUCGUCCCUCCGGGGCUCCCCUUACUUUCCGGCCCUUGCCCAUCUCGCUAAGAAGCCACAGGCAGCUGGCCGGAUGGAAACUAGUGAAGCUGGUGAGAGCUGGCAUCUCAGCCAAUUGUUCCCCCGUCUGACUUCUGACUCGGUCCAUGCAUUACUUCGUCAUAAAGGUGUGCGAGAAUCGGGCCACAACCGGUCCUUUUCGCAUGUCGCGUCCUCUCUCUCUCCUCGGCAUGAAACGCCUCGUCAUCCUCCACCCAGCCGAUUCCCAACAACCUUUCCCUUCCAACAAUCUUUCACUUCAUCUCAUAAUAGAGAUCUUAAAUGAAAUGUCUGGUUAUUGUAUAAAUAGAUAAUAACUGCAUCAGGGAACUGUGACUUGUGACUGUACUAAAUUUCAUGUUUAUUCUUCAAAAAUUUCUCCAAGAGUUCAUUCGAAAUCACAUGUAUAUAUUUCAAAAUUCUUCUCUCUAAUCACUUUGAAAACCGAAUUAUAUAUUUCACUUUUUUUCACUAUUUAUUUAAAAACUCAAAAUAUUUUUUUAUUAAUUAAAAUACAAUUUUUAAAAUAUGAAAUCAUUUUAAAAAUAAAAUAAAUAUUAAUAUUCAUGAAAAAUUAUUCAUACUCGAUGUUUGACUUAAGACUCAUUUAUUCAUCCCCGAGACAAGUACCAUCAAAGAUUAACCAUAAAAAGUGAUUAAUAGUGGGUAUAAAAAGAAGAGCCAGUGAAAAGAAAAGAAUAUAGAAGUAGAUACAAGAGAUUGACCAUCUCAUAAUGAGUCCUUAUCUAGAAUAAUUUUACCAUCUCGUUGUCAACCACCCACCACUUUCAUUCCCUUGUUUUCAUUUUCUAUUCCAUUUGACUUAUGUCAGGUCUUCAAACUAUGUACCCUUCAAAGGAUUUUUAGGCCCUUAGUGAAAUAUUUUCCUAUGAAAAGUGAGUCACCUUUCUUCCACGUCUUGAGGCUGAUGAUAGACUAAAUGAUUGAAUGUUCAUAUGCAUGAGUGAAAGAUGAAGAUAAAGAGAUGAAGGAGGUGGAACAAUGUGGAUAAGAGAGACGAGGUAAGUGGUGAGUUUUGUUUUCUCAUAUUUGAAAGAUCUAAAACUAGAAAUCAAAUGAUUUGUAGAACAUGCUCUCAAAACAUAAUCUAUCUCUAAUUUUGAACUAAAAUAUAACCCUAGAUGAACGAGAAUUUUAACCACCAUGAAACUAACCUGACAUCAUCACUUCUUAUUCUAUAUUUCCACCAAGAGGCAUUCACUUGUAGUAGUGGGAGAGGCCUCAUUUAGGCAAGAUAAGCUUCCAUUCCUGUUGUAAUACACCUACACACAUGCAAAGUGAAGCCCUAGAAAACCUUUCCCCUCUAAGUAGGAACAAUGACCAUGGUUUUAUGUCAAUAUAUAAAGCAUUACCCUCACUCUCUCUCCUCUCUUCAUGUGAGAGAAACCACCAAAAGUUUCUCAUGCCUUCACACCUUUCUAAACAAUUACACACCAUUAGAUCAAUGGGUCUCCUCUCUCUAGUGUCUUCUACCAUUUGAUGGUUGGUUUCUUCAUCUAGUCACUUUUCUCUAUUAGAUUGAUGAACCCUUCUUUUGCCAUUAGUGCCUUUCUUAGCCAUUGGAUCCCUCUUGCCACUAAGGUCACUUGUUGUACACAAUGGCUAGAUUCCAACCACAUAUGGGAUGCCCUAGACUUGAGUAAUAAAUCAUUAAAAAUAUCUAGAGGAUAGUUAAUAAAAUAUUGAAACAUAAUGUCCAUUAUGGUUCUAUAUAAUGUCACAUCAAACAUAUAUGAAAGAAUAAUCCAAGAAAAUUCAAGAAAAUACUGGAAACAUUAAUAUACCUCUAAACAUAUUAAAAUCACACCAUUCACACCAUUGAGGUGAGGAAUUAAUAAAGAGAAUCCUAAAAAAUGUUAAACUAUAGAAGAUAAUGUGUGUUUCUAACCUACUAUUCAUGUUACUAGGGGUUCAUCAAAUGGAAUUAGAGCCACACAUCAAAUGUUGAAGAUGAUAGAACCUAAGGUAAACCUCCUUGAGAGAAGCUUGGAGAAAGUUCAUGAGGUCAAUACAACCCUCUAGCAAAACGCCAUGAUGCUCCUAAUGAAAGUCUCUUCCCUCUGUGAGGAGACCAGGGGACUUCGUCAACAACUAGAUCACAUUAUUUGAACACUAGACAACCUACAAAGUUGGGAGGAGCUUCAACAACUUCUUGAAUGAUUCAACACCACUCAAUCAAGCUUUCUUUGUCAUAAUUUCCUAAGCAUCAACUAGAAAGCCUUUAUUAUGGAAUACCAAGAGGAGUUCAAAAUGAUGGCUGGCAUAUUGGGUCACUUACCCAAACAUAUUUUUGAAAAUAUAAUCCUAAAAGGGUUACAUAAUGAAAACUAAGUGGAAGUCACACUUUUAGAACAAAUUGGGCAUAAAAAGUUGAAGCUAAAUGUCAUAGUAAUAAGAUCUUAUUAAAGUAGAAGAAAUCUCCACAAUUUCACUAUUGAAGCUCCUAACUAUUCCCUUCAACAUUACUUAAUUCUUGAACAAGACCCUCAAAGGAUAAUGAUCAACGAAGGACAAAGAUCUAACCUUACUAUAGGUGGCUCACAUGUCAAGGAAUGCUAGUGAAUACAUCUCACUAUAGUACAAAUUCAAUCCUAAUGAGCUCAGGGACUCUACUUCUCAUGUAACGAUAAGUUCUUUCUAGAACAUCUCUACUACUAAGAACAAUAGGUGUUGGUCAUCCAAGAAGGAUUUAUCUUUGAUAAUAGGGCCAGACUCCAAAAGACUACACGACAUCGUGGGAAGAUCGAGUAAUCGACACUAUGAAAAUCAAUAUAGUAAUUUUCACAUUUGACCUUGUAGACAAGAUAUGAUUCAAAGGGGAGAAUAUUGAUGAGACACUAGUUGAUCAAAGACAUCCCUAGAGGCUUAACAAAUGCCUCAACUACUUUACCAAUAGAGAUGUCAGCAAAGAUUAACUAGAGAUAUCCUCAAGAUAAGUGCCACUAGAGAUUAACCAUUGAAAUUGAUUAGCAAUAGUUAUGGUAAGAGGAGGAAGGUGAAGAAAAGAUUAGAGGAGUAAUAAUAAGAGAUUGAUCAUCUUGUAAUGAGUCCUUAUCAAGAAUAGUUCUACAAUCUUAUUGUUGAGUACAACCCCUUCCAUUCUCCUAUUUUCAUUUUCUCUUCCCUUUAACUUUUAUUAGGUCUCUAUAUCAUGUACCUUUCAAGGGAUUUCUAGGCCUCUAGUGAAGUAUUUUUCUCCAAAAUAAUGAGUCCCCUUCUUUUCAUAUAUGGGGGCCCAUUAUGACUAUAAAGGGAGGGGCUUCUAAAGGGCUAGACAUGAGGAAGAACAAAGUAUUACUGUUGAAAGAGGAGAGAGACCUUGGAAAAUGAAUUAAUCAAGGAGAGAGAGCAUACACAAUGUUUAUAGAGAGAGAGAGAGAGGAGAGAGAAUGGAUAAUGGGCCCUUAAUGGGCCAGGUGAGCUAUAUAACAAUUACUAUGCUCACAAAUUGCAUAUAGCACUUGCACCACUAGAGAUAUGAGUUCAGUGCUAAUGGUUUGUCCAUUAGUAUAAAAGUACCUCACAAGUUUAUGCUUCCACCAAUUUACACCUCACCUCAAAAAUUAAAAAAAAAUUCGUCACAACGAUACAUGGUUACCUUAUGACAUGUGUUACCAAGGUCAACCUUCAAGCACAAACCUUAAUAGUAACUAUGUGUCAUGGUCCACGAUGAUGUAUGACCCAAUAAUUGAAUAGUUAAUCUCAUACAAAAAUGAGAAUUAACUAUCAUAGGGAACAUGUAUAUAAUAGGAUACCCCAACCCUUUACACUGAAUACCUUGAAAGUUAAGUUUAUCUUUAUUGAUUACGGAUAACCUCUCUUGAUCACAUUUGGCCCACUUAGGUAAGAAAAAUAGCAUAGGCCAAUGAAUUAUUUGAAGCUAUACAAAUCUUUGUUACAUUCAUAUUAGAGCAAAGUUAGAUCCCCUUGCUUCUUUCCUUAUUUUUUUCUAUUGGUAGAAAGAUAUAGAUGUAGAAAAAAGUUGGGUGGAUAUGAGUGGUGCCCAUGAGUAAAGGUUCGCCCAUUUAGAUGAGUAGUUUGGAGGUGACAGUUGCGACUAUAGAAUCCUUCACUAGUAAGAUGUAGGCGGGGUGAAUCCCUAUAGAGAGAGAAUGCGGACAAUUCAAAAGAAGAAUGGAUCUAGGUAGUAACAACACUUAUUGAAGCCUUGUUUAACCAAAUAGAUGAGGACAUAAAAAAUAGAGACAUAAAAAAAAGAGAUAAAAAAUAAUGAUAUAUUUUUGCCUAAAAAAGAGAGAUCCUCCCUUCAUAAAAGAAAUCAUGAGGAAAUUAGAUCAAGUUUAAAAUUAGUUGGAGGCCAACUUUCAAAAAGUAGUGGGAGACCUCCAUAAGAAGGUUGUAGGUAGUGGGAGACUAUAAAAGCCUUACAAUUGAGCCCAAAUUUUAUGGUCAAAAGAGGGAUAUCAUAAUAAUUAGUAAUCUUUUAUGAGAUCUACAAUAGUAUUUGAAUGUUAACGCAUCUUUGAAAGAAGAGAAAAUUUUCCUAAGUAGUCUUUAUUAGUUAGGACAUGCUAAGACAUAAUAGUGACUAAGGAUGGAAGAUAACUCACAACUAGUAGUAGCAUAGUGAGAGUACUUUGCCAAGAAAAUGUGAGGGCAAUUUCAUAUAAUGAAUUGUGAAAAAUCCAUCAAAAUUAUCAUGAGAUAAUUAAAAUAUAUCAAAUUUAUCUGUGAGUAUGUUGAAAAGAUUGUCAUGAACAUAUGUAGUAGCUUGUGAUAGAUUUUUGAUCUCCUUUAUCCAAAAUAUCCAUAGUCGAAAUAGGCCUCAAUUUACAAACGACCAUGACAUGUGUAAAGGAGCCCCUUCUUCAAAGCUUAUUUGAUGUAUGCAAGUACUCAUAAAGCGCCCUUUCAAUGUACCUUGUGUGACUCCUACAUAAAUUGGUUAAGGACACUAAAAACAUCAAACUAUGUAAGGAUGAGUAACUAUCAAGUAGAUUAGUUUCCCUAAUAAACGUUGAUGUAUGUUAGUGUCUUCUACUAGAAGGGAAUUGUUCUAAAGCUUUGGCUGAUAUUCUAUUGAUGAAGAUUCUACUUUACACCCUAGUAAUUAUGUUUCUUAAAGGAGAUCUAAGGCAUACUUUUGUUGAGAAAGAGCUAGUUAUCUCGAUUGAUAGGCAAACUCAAAUCCAAAGAAGUAGUACAAGGCUUAAAGAUCAUUCAUCACAAAGUGCUAAUGUAACUACUCUUUUGUAGUAGAGAUGUCUACCUCAUCACUGUUUGUUAAAAGUAUAUCAUUAACAUAAACACCAAAACUACAAAAGUCCUCAAAAAUGGUCUUCCACAUCACAAUAAAAUCAACAACAUAUGGAGUGAAGCUAUAGGCAAUAAGGAGCUAGUUGAAUUUCACAUACUAAACUCAGAGACUCUAUUUGAGCCCAUAUAUGGCUCAUCGGAGCAAGCAUACUUGAGAAGUCUCCCUUUUAAUAACAUACCUUAGAGGUUGUUCCAUAAACACAUGUUCAUAUAAGUUGUCAUACAUGAAGACAUUAAAGAUAUUCAGUUGGUGUAAGGACUAACCCUAAUUAACUAUCUGAGAGAUAAGUACUCGAAUGGAGUUGAGACGAACCACUAAAGAGAAAGUUUUCAUAUAAUUGAUGUCAUAUGUUUAAGUGAAACCUCAAGCUAUUAACCGAGCAAAAGUGAUGAGCCAUUAUACCAUCAAGAUUAUAUUUAAGGUUGAAAACCCAUUUGCACAUCACAUGUUAGUAUUAGUUCGACGUAGUACAAGUUAUCAAGUACCACAUGUUAUUAAGGCACGAUACACAAGAUCUAUGGUCACUUUUCACUCAUGUACCUAAAGAGCUUCAAGAUACAUCUUGAGAAGUGACUUAGAAGAAAUAAAGAGGGCAAAAACAUAAAAGGUAGGGUGAAGGCAGUCAUAAGAGACAAAAUUAGUAAUGGGGUACUAAGUGUAAGUAUGUUUACCUUUGUGUAGGGCAAUUAGAAGAUGGAGGUCAUCUAAAGGUGGAGUAGUAAAGGAGUGUGUGGCCUAAUCUAGUACCAGAGUGGAGACAAUUGAGGGUAUAUCUUGUAUUAGAUCUUGUGAAGAUGACAUGAAUAGUGACACCAUAUGAGUGUCCUUGAUAAAAAGUAAUAUGAGGUUGUGAAGUACGAUUGGAAGAGAGUGGUGGAAAACCUAGAGGUGGAGAAGAAGACACUUGAGAAAGAGUAGUAUGAGAAGAAAAGAAGGGUCUGUCCUAAUGGAAAGUGAUAUCAAUUGAAGUGAUACAAUGAUGAGUAUCAAGGAAGUAUACACGAUAGCUUUUUUACGUAUGCAAGUAGUCAAUGACGACCCUCUUAAGGGCACGAGGAGUAUGAAAACAGAUAAAGUGUGAUCAUUGACGAAUGUUAGAUAGCCAAAUAUACGAGAAAAAAAAGCCAAAGAGAGUUGCCUUGGGGUAGAGAUGUUAGAGGGGAAUAUCUUCAUUUAGGGGGGAGGAAGGUAGACGGUUGUGUAGGUAGGUGGCCAUCAUGAGAGUAUUAUUGUACUAGAGAUAGUGAGGGACAUGCAUCUCAUUGAAAAGUAUGUGAGUAAUGUCUAGUAGGUGGUGAUGUUUCUAUUCUACAACACCAUUUUGUUGAGAGGUGUAAGGGCACCUGGUCUAGUGUAUAAUAUUACGAUCAACACAAAAGGUAGAGAGAACAAGUUGAACUAACUCCAGGGCAUUGUUAGUAUGAAGAAUCUUAGGGGUAAUAGAGUGUUGUAUCAUAAUCUUGAUGAUGAAUUAUAUGACAAUGUUAGGGACAUGAGAAUAAUUUUUCAUGAGAUAUAGCCAACAAAGAUCACAUAGUAGAGGUGGCAUAAGAGAGAAUUAACCUAAGAUAGGCACCAAACAUUACAAUGAACAAGGUCAAACUAGUGAGAGGACAAGAUUAUGUUGUGAGGAGAGUAGGUGGAGUGAUGAUGUUUGCUUAAUUGGCAUGACUCACACAUAAACUUAGAGAGAGAAAGGCAUAGUAAUGAUUUUUGAAGUUUUGAAAAAUAAGAAUGUCCUGAACAAUGAUGCCACAAAAUAGAUAAAAAAAAGUAGAAUGAGCAAACAAGAUAAGAAGACCCAAGGAUAGUGUCUUGGGGACAAGCUCAUAGAUGUCACUACCAUUCUCAUACUUCAAAUCAAUCCAUUGUCUUAUAUGUAGAUCUUGAAAAAUACAAAGAAAGAGAAAAAAUAUAAUAACACAAUUAAGUGUACAUGUGAUGGCACUAAUGGACAAGAGGUUAGUGGGAAAAUUAGGUACAUGAAGGACAUCAUGGAGGGGUAGGGAGGGUAUAUGUGUGGUCAAUCUAUGACCCUUAAUGGACAUAAAUGACUAUUAGCAAUGGAGAUAGGAGGAUAGGUAGAUGUAGGUUAAAUGAAGAUGGGGACAAAUAGUGUACCCAUCAUAUGGGCAAAUUCCCCCAAGUCGAUAAUCUAAGACAAUUUAGAAGUAAUAAGGACAUAUACUUAAAGUAGAGGUAAGACUGGCCAAUGUGAUAGUGUAGGACAAAAUAUCAUAUGUUUGCUUUCAUGUCUCAUAUUUGGCGAGAGAGAAUGACACCUAGAUUGUUAGAAUAGUAGGUGUCGGUGGAGGAACUAUAGAUGUAAUAGGAGUGGCUAUACGAGAGUAGGCAAUAGAUAUCAAGGCUUGUGUCCAUUUGGGUUUCCCAAAUUCUUUUCAACACUUGUUAGAAGGAUAGCUGGUCUUGACAUAGUAGGUACAUGGGGGAAAUCCAUUCUUAACCUUAGUAGAACUCUUGCCCUUAUUAUAAUUCUUGGGGCCAUGGCCACCAUGUGAUCCUAAUGCUACUGUUACUAGGGCCAAAGGAUAUGGUAGAGCAAAUGAGACAAAUGACAUAAGAAUGCUUAGGGGUACACCAAUAAUAACUCAAAAUGUUAAAGAGAAAAUGGAGGCAAUCGACAAUAUAUGACUACUAGAAAGUACUUGACGAUAAAUCUAGAAGGCAAUGGAUGGGUGAAAGCCAUUGAGAUAGGCAUCGACAAAUAGUUAUUAAUGAUAAUGCUCCAAGUGCAUAAAUCAGUUGUGGAGGGCUAGCGGACCAAUAACUUCUAGAUGAUGUUUUAGAGUUUGCCAAAAUACUCCUAAAGAGUUUGAUUGCCUUGCUUGCAUGCAAAAAAAGCUUCAUAAAGUUUGAUUGUGCGGUUGAUAUUGGUCUUAUUAAUAUACAUCAUCUCAAGUGUCUGCCAAAGGGCGCAUAGGAACUUGAUGUGAUCAAGAGGUUGAGCAAUACUUGGAAUAAUGUUUCAACACAUCUAUAUAAGAACUGUCAAGUCAAGUUGUGACCACAACACAUAAGUACAUGUCGUGGCUACCGGAGGUGAUGUUAGAUAAUGUAACAAAUUAUGAGCUUGAAAAAAAUUUUCAAAGCUAUAUAUGCCCACGAUCAAUAAUUGAAAUUGUCAAACACAUAUGCCAGCCAAGUUAGUGGGGCAAUAAUAGAGUGAUGGGUCGAUAGUAUUGGAUCAACUACAAGACAAACAAAGGGACUAGAAGAGGGAGAACUAGAAGUAACAAUUCGUCGAUAGAAUCUACCAUCAGGUUGGGGCACGUAAGAGAGCAACAAUCAAAAGAUCAGGACACUAAUAGAUGAGGGCCAGCUAAGGCUGUUAGGGUAGGGCACUAAGGUGGCCUAGGUAGCCACAUGAGUAGCUUGGGCCUAAAAUAAUUUGGACAGUAGCUUGGACUUGGAAUGGCCCAAGUGAAUGCCAAUACUAGAGCAACAAUUUUAGUAGUCAAAGAAGACGGUGGCUAUGGAGGCAAUGAGGGAAAUGAUGGUGGCGACGAUGAUAGUGGCAACAAAUUAGGAGGGAACCCUAGGACGAGCCAGUACACAAUAAGGUGGGGGGGCAGUCUCAUGGCUCUAGUGCCAUGUGGAAUGAAAAACCUUUAAUCCUGAGAUUACAAGAGCUUAUAUAAAGGAGAGAAGAAGAUGGGUCAUUGUUGGGCCAUACUCUUAUAGUACAUACCAAAACUCAAUAGUAAAAAUAUAUUUAAAUAAUAAUAGUCAAAGAGUCAAGUAGGUAUUUGUGGGUUGUUAUAAAAAGAAGGUCAUAAAGGUUAAGAACAUAUCUUUUCUAAGUCUAGAACCAGCUUAGAAGAUGUCAAGUUGGGACAUGUCUAUUUCUCUUUUUGAACUUGAUUUACAUACUAGGACUGAAUUAAGGCCAAAUUUGAAAUGAUUCUAGAUGACUUUUCCCCUCACCUAGUGCAUGUCUACAAGGGUCAAGAAGUCAAGAUGGAGAUUGAACUGAAGGUGAAGAGGAGGAGAUCCCCUCUUUCUCUCUCUCUCUCUCUCUCUCUCUCCCUCUCUCUCUCUCUCUCUCUCUCUCUCUCUCUCUCUCUCUCNNNNNNNNNNNNNNNNNNNNNNNNNNNNNNNNNNNNNNNNNNNNNNNNNNNNNNNNNNNNNNNNNNNNNNNNNNNNNNNNNNNNNNNNNNNNNNNNNNNNNNNNNNNNNNNNNNNNNNNNNNNNNNNNNNNNNNNNNNNNNNNNNNNNNNNNNNNNNNNNNNNNNNNNNNNNNNNNNNNNNNNNNNNNNNNNNNNNNNNNNNNNNNNNNNNNNNNNNNNNNNNNNCUCUCUCUCUCUCUCUCUCUCUCUCUCUCUCUCUCUCUCUCUCUCUCUCUCUCUCUCUCUCUCUCUCUCUCUCUCUCUCUCUCUCUCUCUCUCUCUCUCUCUCUCUCUCUCUCUCUCUCCUCUCUCUCUCUCUUGCUCUCUCUUCCCACCAACUUCAAUGGGGUUUUCUACUACUACCACAAGGCUUUUGUUCCACCACCAGGGCAAGAUACUCGCUCACUAUGUGUCCUCUUUUACUGCCACAAGCUCCUCUACCGUUGUUGCAUGCUUUCUUCCAUUGCCACUACAGAAUCCUCCUCGCCAUGCAUCCUCUUCUGCCACCACAGGCUCCUCCACCACCAUUGCAUGUUUUCUUCUCCUACCAUUGCAGAAUCCUCCCUUGUUGCGCAUCCUCUUCUGUUGCCACAAACUCCUCUAUUGCUACUACAUACUUUCUUCCACUGCCAUCGCAUAAUCCUCUCUCACUGUACUCCCUCUUUUGUUACUACAUGCUCCUUUGAGACCACUACAUGUUUUCUUUUGUGCCCACCACAAAAUCCUCUCUAGCCGUGAGUUCUCUUCCAUUACCACAAGCUCCUCUACUACCGGUACAUGCUUCUCUUCUGCCAACAAUGUAGAAUCCUAGCUAGUUCUGUGUCCUCUUAUGGCACAUGUUCCUCCUGCCACAAGUUAUUUGAUGUUUUUGUAUUUUUAAAUAUAACACAAUUAUAUAAUUAAAUGAUUUUAUUUAUCUUAAUUUGUAAUAUUAUAAUUAACUGUUAUGAUUUAAAAGUUAGUUAUAUUAUAGAUAAAUUAUAACAUAUAUAUAUAUCUUUAAAUGUAGAUAGGUCAUAGGUCUGAACUUAGUUCUAAGUUUAGGUCACAACUAAAAACUUAAUUGAGACUAUGACCAUUGAUCUCUAGUUAUAGCUGAAAACUUGGGCACAAAUAAAUAAUUUUGAUCUUAGAGGGGGGUAUAAUGUUAAAACACUAUGCUGCGGACUUCUCCUGGGAUCAUUAAUGGUCUAUGCCCACAGAACAUGUCCGAGGGUGACACCCUGCCUAAGUCAUGGGCCUGGGGUCCAGUACAGAGCCCAAGUGUCUGUGCAAAGCUAUUUGGAUCCGAUAUCGCGGAGCGGAUCUGCAACGGACCAAGAAGAUACACGGAGGGGAAGAUCCGGCGGAUAAAGUGACCGUUGUGGGCCGGAAAACCGCUCGACGCACGUUCUCCCGUUAUGGGCCAGAAAGAAGGUGGCGUGGGGGGUUUUUCCAGGCGGCCCAGAUCGUGGGUGGGCUGUUCCGACCUUCAGGGGGUGCACGAGAGUCUUUGCGUUGACCAUCACCAUUUCCGCGUAAUCUUGGAGAAGAAAGGUAGCUAGUGCUGGCGACGGGGGCCAAGGCCAGUCCGGGAACGAAUCCAGGUGAGUUCGAUCCUUGACCCGUGAUACAAGGCACAGGCCCACUCCUCCGGCCCCAUGCUUACCAAAAGAAGUGGUGGACAGGUGACUCGGCAGAUACGUCCAUAUUUCAGCCGACUGCGCUCAAAUUCCGAACGGCCACAGUCGCUGUGAUAGCCGCUAUACUUUCUCCAUGGUAGAAAUUUUGACGGUCAAGUCAAUGUCGGACCGUGUGGUCGCCGUCGUCCUUCUUCGGAAGCAUCACCAGAGCUAGCAUCGCCGCGUACUAAAGUGGCGCAGACGGAGAACUUGUUUUCUUGUCUAACUGGUUCAACUCACGGCAUCGCAGACCUUGCAGGAGUGAGUUCCGUGGUGGCCCUAACCCACCUCCUCGGAGCUUAUCCCUGAGCCAUGCCGCUGGGCACGCCCGCCGCCUCUUUGCUCCUCCUGCUCACCUUUGUCCUCAUGGCUGGAGCGGAGACGGUGACCACCUAUUUCGACUUCCCUACGUUUGGCUCUAGCCGCGACAUCACCUUCCUGGGCAACGCCUCAUCCACCAACGGCUCUCUAGAGCUCAACGAAGACGGCAGCUACAGCUACGGCCGAGCCUUCUACUCGAACCCGGUCCGUCUCUGGGACAACAAAACGGGGAAUCUGGCAAGCUUGAUCACAAACUUCUCCUUCUCGGUGAUCCAGAGUCCGAACAGUACAUAUCACGGUGAUGGAUUAGUCUUCUUCCUCGCCCCCAUCGGCUACCCUGUACUGCAGAACAGAUUGGGUGGCCUAUUCACGCUCUUCAAUAGUAGUGACGAAUUGGUCAUGUCCCCCGUGGUAGCCGUCGAGUUCGAUACCUACUCAAACGAUUGGGAUACGGAGGUCGCCCAUGUGGGAAUCGACGUCGGCCACAUCGACUCCGUCAAAAGCUUGUCUUGGGAGUCGUUCGACUUCCCGACCAUCGACGCAGUGAUCUCCUACGACGCCGGCACCACGGAGCUGAGAGCCUCCUUUUCCGACGGCAACGGCUACAACAAGACCUUAUUUUACGUCGUCGACCUGAGAAAGGAGCUCCCCGAAACUGUGAACAUCGGCUUCGCGGGUGCCACUGGCAGAUACUUCGAACGCCAUGUGAUACAUUCCUGGAGCUUCAACUCAAGCCUGGAUGUUGUCGACCGUAACGGCAACACUACGAACGGCGGCGACACCGGAGGGGGCACCAUCACGGCUCCACCGGUCCCCCCUCCGAACAAGAAGAAAAGCAGCAUCGGUCUACUGGCUGGUGUGCUAGCCGGCGCGGGAACCUUGGCAAUCGCAGCGGGUUUGGCACUCGUCUUCGUCUGGCGAAGAAGGGCACAUGCGAAGAAUGGAGGACAGGACGGCGUCAUCAACGACAGCGAAUUUGACGAAGGCAAGGGGCCCAAGAGCUUCUCUUAUUCGGAACUCGCCCGGGCAACAAGCAACUUUGCGCCAGAACAAAAGCUAGGAAGAGGAGGAUUCGGAGACGUUUACAGAGGAACCUUAACCCGGCCGAAAAUGGUGGUGGCCAUCAAGAGAGUCGCAAAAGACUCGAGGCAGGGAAAGAAGGAGUAUGUCGCCGAGGUGAAGGUCAUCAGCCGCGUGCGCCAACGCAACCUCGUGCAGCUCGUGGGGUGGUGCCACGAGAAGGGGGACCUGCUUCUCGUCUAUGAGUACAUGCCCAACGGCAGCCUCGACGCCCACCUCUACGGCGGUGGCAAUCCGCUGCCGUGGCCGACGCGGUACAGCAUCGCCCGGGGUGUCGCGGCGGCGUUGCUUUACCUCCACGACGAGUCGGACAAGUGCGUGGUCCACAGGGACGUCAAGUCGAGCAACGUGAUGCUGGACGCCAAUUUCAACGCCAAGUUAGGGGAUUUCGGCCUUGCGAGGCUCGUGGACCACGGCGGCGGCAUGGAGACGACGGCCGUGGCUGGGACGAUGGGGUACCUGGCCCCGGAGACCGCGACGACGGGGAGGGCGAGCAAGGAGUCGGACGUCUACAGCUUCGGGGUGCUGGCCUUGGAGAUCGCCUGCGGGAGGAGACCCGUCGAUCACGGCAAUAAAGAGGGGCGGGUUAGUCUCGUUGAGUGGGUAUGGGAUCUCUACGGGAAGGGCGCCGUUGUGGAGGCGGCAGACGAGAGGCUGGGCUUGAACUUUGACCGGCAGGAGAUGGAGCGGCUGAUGGUGGCGGGCCUGUGCUGCGCGCACCCGGACCACCGGCAACGGCCGUCGAUGCGGCAGAUGAUCGGCAUUCUCCUCUUCGAGAUGCCGUUGCCUAAUCUUCCGACAGAGAUGCCGGAGAUAUCCUACGGAGCGUUUCCCGUUCCGGAGUUCAACAUGACCACCAUCAAGGAGUUGUCGUCUACGUCGGCAACCUCCGCCAGAUUCGCCACCGGCGCCUCCGUCGAUUGAGCGGGGUCCGCCGGGUACAAACCAGCCCUUUAUCCGCUCGACAGGUGAAUCAGUCGAAUUCAACGCUUUCGUUUUGUUCAUCCUUCUCUCAGGAGCUAAGUACAGCGAGAGUGCCAGAUGUAUCUUCUGUGUUCUUCCUGUAAUAAUCCCUGUAACGAAGGUUUCGAUCCUUGGAUCUUAGCUCCUUUGUCCGCGUCAGUUGACUGUGGGUUAUCGCUUGACUCAUGACCAUGAUGCAUCCCGGCAUUUCCGUGAGGAUCCAGAAAUGGAUCAGAUGGGAGGAAAGGAUAGGUUCGGCCUCGGACCUUUGUCCAUCGCCUUCCUCCUACCGGGGCGUGUCGUCACCCAGCCCACGACGACCAUUCCCCGAAGCUCAGGCGUCGGUUCACAUCUCUUGUCUGCUCUGUUUCAGUAGUCCUCGGUGACUUCUUCCCCCGUUCCCACCUUCCACUCGGACGCGGACGAGAUCCGCAGAAUCAGCUUGGACAUGAGAUCGAUUCAGCCCGUCUGAGUUUAUUUCUCUUUUAGAUGUUUUUUUACGUGGGUACGACUCCCUUACUCUCCCGUCGGCCUAACAGAACUUAAAUAUCUAAUUCGUCACAACGACAAAGGGUUAGCAUACGCCAUGACUGGGGCCGCGCAUCUACCCAUAUUCCACGGAGAGGACCGGUCCUCCCUCCGGGGCUCCCUUUAUUUUUCGUCUCUUGGAUCCCUCGCUGACCCAUCACGCCGGUGGAUCGUCUUCCUAGCCCCGAGUUUCUUAGUCGUUUAUCUCUUGUACUGGGACGAGGCCGCCGGGUCGCCGGGCCGCCGGUUGGAUGGAAACGGAUGGAGCUCGUGGGAACCGGCUUCUGAGCCAGUCGGUAAAGAGGGGUGGUGGCACCGGUUAGACCGAAACUGCAUCUCAUGCACCUCGCCUUUUAUGCCGCGGAGGAAGAUGAAGGAACCAAAACCGAAACAUCCAGGCGAUAAGAGGGCGAAUAAGAAAGUCAGGAGGCUCUUCUCACCGCCGCAUCAGAUGCCUCAAGCGAGAGCUUUUCCGCAAACUCGUAUCCCCUCUUUCUUUCGUUUGGCCUACGUGACUGUGUAAGCAAAGAAAGCCAAUGAAGGCUUACGAAUGUCGGAAGGAGUUGACCCCACACGGUAGGUGUUUUCCGAUCGACGAUGCGGUGUGUACGGCGGUGGGCACGCACCCCCCAGCCUUCGCGGGAAAAUGCCGAGCUUCCCCCCGCCGGGGGCCCUCCCAUGCAGCUCCAGUUUUCCCCCACCUCCUGCGUCCCUCUCAAUAAUCCCCUCCACACCUGUCUCUCUCGGCGAUAUUUCGUCAUUCAUAAACUACAUAAAAAAAAGCUUCUUUUUUUUGUCAUUCGCUCCCUAUGGGUGAUAAGAUUAUUUUGGCUACCGGGAGUUUGGCCAGUGCAGUCGCAGGACGCGCAAUGACCGUAAGGGUCAUUGGACGCGCGAUGACCAUAAAGGUCACCGGACGCAUGAUGCCGGAAAUGGCUACAAUGCCGUCUGCGGUCACGAGAUGUGACACUGCCGCCAGCAAUGGCGAUAAUGGGCCGUAAUGGGCCAUGAGCCGCAAUGGGCCAUGCACCGUCUACGGCAUCAGGAUAACCCCAUGACAUGAUCCACCACCGCCAGCAAUGGCGAUGAGGGGUGGAGCACUACGAUUGGCAUGUGAAGCCACCUAGAUGGCAGGAGGGCUGAGGUGGAAGCCACCAUCUUCACGGUAGCCAGCCACCACUUGAAUGGUUGGAGUGCCGCCAUUAUGGCGAGCAACUUCUCUCCUGAAGGGCCAUUUUAGGGCACUCAAUUACAACUACGGUAAUUGCAUGGGAUGGCCACACCUCGUCGCUUGUGACGGCCCAUGCUUCACCUUCUAUUACGGCUCACGCCUCAUAUUUUUGAUGGCCCACGUCUCAUGGCACAUGAUGGCUUAGGCCUUAUUAUCUGUCAACUUGAAUGAUUGUCCUAAGAAUGAGAUAGAAAAAGAACAAAUGGAUGACAUCCCAUAUGCCUCAGUUGUUGAGAGCUUAUGUAUAAACAUGUACCUAUCCAGAUGUCACAUAUGUUGUUGGGAUACUUGGUAGAUAUCAAAAUAACAUAGGCCUAUAACAUUAGAAGGUUACAAAAAAAAGUUAUACAUUAUUUACAAGGCACUAAGGAUCACUUGCUCACUUAUAAAAGAUCAGAUCAUCUUGAGGUCAUUGGCUAUUGAGAUAUAAAUAUUGGAGGCUAUCUUGAUAGUAAAAAAUUUACUUUAAGUUUCAUUUUUCUACUAAGAUGUCGAGUCAUUUCAUAUGAGUAUAAAACAAACCACUAUAGCUUCUUAUGUUAUGGAAGUUAAAUUUGUUACCUUCUAUGAGACCUCAUCAUAGGCAAUAUAGAUAAAAAAAUUUUAUCACAAGUCUUAAAAUGAUGGAUUCAAUUCAAAAACCACUUAAGAUCUAUUGUGAUAAUGAAGUUGAUGUUUCUUUCUUUAACAACAACAAAAGUUUCACUUCAUGUAGGCACAUGGAAAUAAAUUAUUUUGUUGUUAAAGAAAUAAUAGAUAUUCAUUUGGUGUCUACUACUCAUAUUGGUAUACAUGACAUAUUAGUAGACCCACUUACUAAAGGAUUGACGCCUAUAUUAUAUUUCAAACAUGUAAGGAACAUGGGUCUAUCCUUUAAUGUCUUAUUUUGAUAGAUCUUACAAAAGUAAUGUUUUAUUUUGAGACAUCAAGUAUUUGUGAACAUAUUUUGGUAAAUAUUAUGAUUCUUUGGGUUCUACUUUCUAUAUCAAGUAUUUAUAAAUAAAUUAAGUAAAUAAAGAGUUAUAUUUUACCAAGGGAAUAAGAAUGUGGUUAACUUAUUCAUAAAAGUCGUUGUCAUAUAAAGUAUUGGUAAUUAAAGAAUAUUGACAUAGUAAUAUAGAGAAGAUAACAUACACUCAAGUUUAUCUAUCGCUAUGACUCAUGUCUCUAUUUAAUCAUGACAAAGUAUAAAAUUACCCACAUAAAAAUGAGAUUAGUUGUGGUACCAUGUCAAAACUUAAUCUAAUAUCUUUUGUGUCUUGUAUUCUAUAUGUCUAUUAUCUUGUAGAAUAAUGAUUAUGGUAUAAUAGGCCAAGUGAGAGAAUGUUGGCCCAUAAGUGGCCCAUUAGCAUAAUAACUACUCAUAAUAACCACUCCUAUAACUACCUAUUGGCUACCCUCAUUUGGGAAACAACACACACCCUAUAUUUAAGAAGAAUCCUUAUUUCAGGAGAUGAGGAAGACACACAGCUCUCUCUCUCUUCUCUCUUCUCCUCAUUCUAUUUGAUGAGAACAUAACCUUUAGUGCUCUAAGAGCUUAGUACUCUUCUCCUUAGUACAUUAGUCUGUCAUCAAGUAGCAUCCUACAGAGAAGGGAUAUCAAAGUGUCUAUCUAUUUGGGAAGACAAAUAUAUCCUUUCUCUUACACUACAAUUUCCUGUGAACACUUGAUACACAAUGUCUUCAUUAGGUGAGUAACCCAUCAUAUAAAAUAGAAUAAUAAUUAUUAUUAAUAUAAUGUUGUUAUUCCAAUAUGGUGGCCAUUUCACUCUCUUCCCAAAGAACAACAAAAGCUAGUCGGGUAAGGCCUUUGGUAGCUGUCAAGUUCAACGCCCACAAAAACGCAUAGGAUAUGAAGGACGCCCCCCAUGUAGGGAUCGACGUCGGCUACAUAACGUCCGCAAUAAUCUCGGAUUGUGGGUCGAUCUCCGGCCAGAACAGAACCACGAUCGACGUAGUGAUCACCUACGAUGCUGGCACCACCAUGCUUAAAGCCUACUUCUCGAACAUGAAUGGCACGGACCAGAGCUUGGCUUACUACGUUAACCUGAGCGAGGAGCUUCCCGAGAAGGUUAACAUCGGCUUCGCGGGCGCCACUGGUGCAUACUUUGGACGCCAUGUGAUACAUUCCUGGAGCUUCAACUCAAGCCUGGAUGUUGCCGUCCGUAACGGUAACACCACAAACGGCGGCGAUGCCGGUGGGACUAAGAAGAAAAGCAACAUCGGCCUACUGGCUGGUGUGCUAGCCGGCGCGGGAACCUUGGCAAUCGCAGCGGGUUUGGCACUCUUCUUCGUCUGGCGAAGAAGGGCA